GAGCGAACAGACGAGGAGCUUGCUCCUCUGACGUUAGCGGCGGACGGGUGAGUAACACGUGGAUAACCUACCUAUAAGACUGGGAUAACUUCGGGAAACCGGAGCUAAUACCGGAUAAUAUAUUGAACCGCAUGGUUCAAUAGUGAAAGACGGUUUUGCUGUCACUUAUAGAUGGAUCCGCGCCGCAUUAGCUAGUUGGUAAGGUAACGGCUUACCAAGGCAACGAUGCGUAGCCGACCUGAGGGGGUGAUCGGCCUCACUGGAACUGAGACACGGUCCAGACUCCUACGGGAGGCAGCAGUAGGGAAUCUUCCGCAAUGGGCGAAAGCCUGACGGAGCAACGCCGCGUGAGUGAUGAAGGUCUUCGGAUCGUAAAACUCUGUUAUUAGGGAAGAACAUAUGUGUAAGUAACUGUGCACAUCUUGACGGUACCUAAUCAGAAAGCCACGGCUAACUACGUGCCAGCAGCCGCGGUAAUACGUAGGUGGCAAGCGUUAUCCGGAAUUAUUGGGCGUAAAGCGCGCGUAGGCGGUUUUUUAAGUCUGAUGUGAAAGCCCACGGCUCAACCGUGGAGGGUCAUUGGAAACUGGAAUACUUGAGUGCAGAAGAGGAAAGUGGAAUUCCAUGUGUAGCGGUGAUAUGCGCAGAGAUAUGGAGGUACACCAGUGGCGAAGGCGACUUUCUGGUCUGUAA
rnacentral:rRNA from 1 species